rnacentral:rRNA from 1 species
CUACGGGAGGCUCCAGUAAGGAAUAUUGCGCAAUGGAGGCAACUCUGACGCAGCCAUGCCGCGUGCAGGAAGAAGGCCUUAUGGGUCGUAAACUGCUUUUAUUUAGGAAUAAACCCCCGAACGUGUUCGGGGCUGAAGGUACUAAACGAAUAAGCACCGGCUAACUCCGUGCCAGCAGCCGCGGUAAUACGGAGGGUGCAAGCGUUAUCCGGAUUUAUUGGGUUUAAAGGGUGCGCAGGCGGGCUAUUAAGUCAGUGGUGAAAUCCCGGGGCUCAACUCCGGAACUGCCAUUGAUACUGAUAGUCUUGAGUUUGGUUGAAGUGGGCGGAAUGUAGCAUGUAGCGGUGGAAUGCAUAGAUAUGCUACAGAACACCAAUCGCGAAGGCAGCUCACUAAGCCAAAACUGACGCUCAAGCACGAAAGCGUGGGGAUCAAACAGGAUUAGAUACCCCUGUAGUC